AUUUAAGGAGUUCUGCCUGGCAAUAAGAUGCAGUGAUUGGUAGAAUAAUCCUAUAGGCGGUCCUUAAUGCCUGUUGCUGCUGCCGGAAAGUUCUGGAAUUAAUCUUCUCGUCGUUCGCCAUUUUAAACUCGGUGAAACAAGAACAUGUGGAAAUUUGUCUGAUCAUUGCAAUUGGAUCCUUGAUGUGCCAGUGGGGAUCUUAUUCGAGCACACCGAUCUUCAGCCCCCCCCAACUCCUUGCAUUUGAAUUCCUCGAUUGGAAUAAUAUUUGAAGGUCAAGUGGUAAUGGACAAGAUGCCGUAAUUUAUAUCAUUUAUCUGUACAAUUUUGUACAGUGUGGCUGUGACCAGUUCUGUUUCAUUUAUUGAAAUUUAAAUGUUUUAAUGUUUAAACAAUUUUGCACAAUAAAUACAUUCAAUAUG